UGGCAAUCUAAAACCAGCUUUUUGUGACCUACAACCAUGUCCAUAUCAGUUUGGAAAUGAUUGCUAGAGUAAAACUAAUUUUUGUGUUUAAAUGUGCAACUACUAUGAAAGCUGCAAUUGUUUGCACAAUUUUUAAACAAU
rnacentral:snoRNA from 1 species